rnacentral:rRNA from 1 species
GCGAGUGAAAGGGGAAGAGCCCAGCGCUGAAUCUCUCGGUCUUAGGCCGCUGAGAACUGUAGCGUAUAGGUGUGACUGUCCUGCUAUAUUGCAUUUCCGAAGUCUCUUUGAUAGGGGCCAACAUCCAGAGAGGGUGCGAGACCUGUACGGAAAGUAGUAUAGUUGGUAUGGUUACUCCUUGGAGUCGGGUUGCUUGAAAGUGCAGCCUAAAGUUGGUGAUAAACUUCAUCUAAGGCUAAAUAUCGACGCGAAAUCGAUAGCAAACAAGUACCGUGAGGGAAAGUUGCAAAGAACUUUGAAGAGAGAGUUCAAGAGAACGUGAAAUCGCUGAAGUGGAACCGGAGAGAGUUAACAUAACUUGGUAGCUAUAUCCUCUAAAGUCGCUUAACUGUGGCUCUGGGGGGUGGACGCUACCUGUUGUUGCACUGACUGCGUUGAUUGUGCUUUCCGAACAGUAUAGUGUUGCCCACUUUGUGGUGUCUUGCUUUCUGGGAGGUUUGUCAUAAUUAACGUAAAGCCAAUUCCCUUUGGAGUCAGUGUGAAAGUUAACCACCUUUCCGACCCGUCUUGAAACACGGACCGAGGAGUGUAAUUUAUACGCGAGUCAAGGGGUGGUGAAAACCCUAGGGGCGGAAUGAAAGUAAAGGCCGGUUAACCGGUUGACAUGGGAUCCGCUCUUCGGAGCGGCGCACCAUGGCCCUGUCUUGUCUGCUUGCAGAUGGGCAGCGGUAGAGCGUAUAGUUUGCGACCCGAAAGAUGGUGAACUAUGCUUGAGCAGGACGAAGCCAGAGGAAACUCUGGUGGAAGUCCGUAUCGGUUCUGACGUGCAAAUCGAUCGAUAGACUUGGGUAUAGGGGCGAAAGACUAAUCGAACCGUCUAGUAGCUGGUUCCCUCCGAAGUUUCCUCAGG